UCUUCUGUAAAAUGAAGGUUUUAUCUUCUAGUCGUUGGAUCAGAGCUGGGUUCUUCUGUAACUGAAGGUUUUAUAUUCUAGUCAUUGGAUCAGAGCUUGGUUCUUCUGUAACUGAAGGUUUUAUCUUCUAGUCGUUGGAUCAGAGCUUGGUUCUUCUGUAACUGAAGGUUUUAUCUUCUAGUCGUUGGAUCAGAGCUUGGUUCUACUGUAACUGAAGGUUUUAUCUUCUAGUCGUUGGAUCAGAGCUUGGUUCUUCUGUAACUGAAGGUUUUAUCUUCUAGUCGUUGGAUCAGAGCUUGGUUCUUCUGUAACUGAAGGUUUUAUCUUCUAGUCGUUGGAUCAGAGCUUGGUUCUACUGUAGCUGAAGGUUUUAUCUUCUAGUCGUUGGAUCAGAGCUUGGUUCUACUGUGACUGAAGGUUUUAUCUUCUAGUCGUUGGAUCAGAGCUUGGUUCUACUGUGACUGAAGGUUUUAUAUUCUAGUCGUUGGAUCAGAGCUGGGUUCUUCUGUAACUGAAGGUUUUAUCUUCUAGUCGUUGGAUCAGAGCUUGGUUCUACUGUAGCUGAAGGUUUUAUCUUCUAGUCGUUGGAUCAGAGCUUGGUUCUACUGUGACUGAAGGUUUUAUAUUCUAGUCGUUGGAUCAGAGCUGGGUUCUUCUGUAACUGAAGGUUUUAUAUUCUAGUCGUUGGAUCAGAGCUUGGUUCUUCUGUAACUGAAGGUUUUAUCUUCUAGUCAUUGGAUCAGAGCUGGAUUCUUCUCCAACCUCAGAUUUAACUUCCUGUUUA